rnacentral:rRNA from 1 species
UGCAGCAACGCCGCGUGAGGGAUGAAGGCCUUCGGGUUGUAAACCUCUUUCAGGAGGGAAGAAAAUGACGGUACCUCCAGAAGAAGCCCCGGCCAACUACGUGCCAGCAGCCGCGGUAACACGUAGGGGGCGAGCGUUGUCCGGAAUCAUUGGGCGUAAAGGGCUCGUAGGCGGCUUAGUAAGUCGGCCGUGAAAACCCAGGGCUCAACCCUGGGACGCCGGUCGAUACUGCUAUGGCUAGGGUCCGGUAGAGGAGAGUGGAAUUCCCGGUGUAGCGGUGAAAUGCGCAGAUAUCGGGAGGAACACCAGUAGCGAAGGCGGCUCUCUGGGCCGGUACCGACGCUGAGGAGCGAAAGCGUGGGGGGCAAACAGGAUUAGAUACCCUGGUAGUCCACGCCGUAAACGUUGGGUACUAGGUGUGGCGGACUGAUCAACGUCUGCCGUGCCGAAGCUAACGCAUUAAGUACCCCGCCUGGGGAGUACGGCCGCAAGGCUAAAACUCAAAGGAAUUGACGGGGCCCCGCACAAGCGGCGGAGCAUGCGGCUUAAUUCGAUGCAACCCGUAGAACCUUACCUGGACUUGACAUCAUGGGUCUAUCUGUAGAAAUACAGAGUGCUUUGCGCCCAUGACAGGUGGUGCAUGGCUGUCGUCAGCUCGUGUCGUGAGAUGUUGGGUUAAGUCCCGCAACGAGCGCAACCCCUGUCCUAUGUUGCCAGCGG